CGUGCCCGGACCCUGUCGCAC
rnacentral:snRNA from 1 species